UACACUCCUGCGGGAGGCAACAGUGGGGAAUAUUGGACAAUGGGCGCAAGCCUGAUCCAGCCAUGCCGCGUGAGUGAUGAAGGCCCUAGGGUUGUAAAGCUCUUUCACCGGUGAAGAUAAUGACGGUAACCGGAGAAGAAGCCCCGGCUAACUUCGUGCCAGCAGCCGCGGUAAUACGAAGGGGGCUAGCGUUGUUCGGAUUUACUGGGCGUAAAGCGCACGUAGGCGGACUAUUAAGUCAGGGGUGAAAUCCCGGGGCUCAACCCCGGAACUGCCUUUGAUACUGUUAGUCUUGAGUUCGAGAGAGGUGAGUGGAAUUCCGAGUGUAGAGGUGAAAUUCGUAGAUAUUCGGAGGAACACCAGUGGCGAAGGCGGCUCACUGGCUCGAUACUGACGCUGAGGUGCGAAAGCGUGGGGAGCAAACAGGAUUAGAAACCCUGGUAGUCCCAUGA
rnacentral:rRNA from 1 species